CACUUAGCUGAUGUGGAAGUUGAAUUGGAGAGAGAAAGAGACCAGCAACUGAUUCAACCUUCUUCCUCGCAUCUAGGGACUCGUUCGUUUUUUAUCUCUUCCCUUUUCGCUAAAUCUCAAGCUUCGAAACAUCUUCCUCACGGUGCUCUGUUUUUUAAGGAGGAAGAGGGUAGAAGAUGACCGUUGCAGGUCUCACGUGCUUCCCUCUCUCUUCAGUCCUUCUUUCUCUCUCCAAUUGGACAUCCACGUAAGCCUCAUCCGUUAACAAAUAAAC
rnacentral:lncRNA from 1 species